rnacentral:rRNA from 1 species
UACAGAGGUCUCAAGCGUUGUUCGGAUUCAUUGGGCGUAAAGGGUGCGUAGGCGGCGCGGUAAGUCGGGUGUGAAAUCCCCAGGCUUAACCUGGGAAGUGCGCGCGAAACUGACGAGCUUGAGUGCCGGAGAGGGUCGCGGAAUUCCCGGUGUAGAGGUGAAAUUCGUAGAUAUCGGGAGGAACACCAGUGGCGAAGGCGGCGACCUGGACGGACACUGACGCUGAGACGCGAAAGCGUGGGGAGCAAACAGG